rnacentral:rRNA from 1 species
GCAAUUAUACCAGCGCUAAUACAUUGGAUUCAUUAAGAACUCCGAAGUCAAGCGUACUUAGGCGAGAAUAAUACUAGGAUGGGUGACCCCCUAGAAAGUCCUCGUGUUGUACCCC